rnacentral:rRNA from 1 species
AUACCGUAAGUACCUGCCUCUCAGACGAGGAUAACAGUUGGAAACGACUGCUAAGACUGGAUAUGAAGUUUUGAGGCAUCUCGAAACUUUUAAAAGACCCGCAAGGGUAUGCUGAGAGAUGGGCUUGCGGCACAUUAGUUAGUUGGUAAGGUAAUGGCUUACCAAGACUAUGAUGUGUAGCUGGACUGAGAGGUUGAACGGCCACAUUGGGACUGAGAUACGGCCCAAACUCCUACGGGAGGCAGCAGUAAGGAAUUUUCGGCAAUGGAGGAAACUCUGACCGAGCAACGCCGCGUGAACGAUGAAGUAUUUAGGUACGUAAAGUUCUUUUAUUAAAGAAGAAAAAAUGAUGGAAAAAUCAUUCUGACGGUAUUUAAUGAAUAAGCCCCGGCUAACUAUGUGCCAGCAGCUGCGGUAAUACAUGGGGGGCAAGCGUUAUCCGGAUUUAUUGGGCGUAAAGGGUGCGUAGGCGGUUAAAUAAGUCUAUGGUAUAAGUUCAACGCUUAACGUUGUGAUGCUAUAGAAACUGUUUGACUAGAGUUGGAUAGAGGCAAGUGGAAUUCCAUGUGUAGCGGUAAAAUGCGUAAAUAUAUGGAGGAACACCAGUAGCGAAGGCGGCUUGCUGGGUCUUAACUGACGCUGAGGCACGAAAGCGUGGGGAGCAAACAGGAUUAGAUACCCUGGUAGUCCACGCCGUAAACGAUGAGUACUAAGUGUUGGGUUAAACCAGUGCUGAAGUUAACACAUUAAGUACUCCGCCUGAGUAGUACGUACGCAAGUAUGAAACUUAAAGGAAUUGACGGGACUCCGCACAAGCGGUGGAUCAUGUUGUUUAAUUCGAAGAUACACGAAAAACCUUACCAGGUCUUGACAUACUCUGCAAAGCUAUAGAAAUAUAGUGGAGGUUAUCAGGGAUACAGGUGGUGCAUGGUUGUCGUCAGCUCGUGUCGUGAGAUGUUGGGUUAAGUCCCGCAACGAGCGCAACC